rnacentral:rRNA from 1 species
AUGAACGCUGGCGGCGUGCCUCAUCCAUGCCCGUCGAGCGAACGGACGAGAAGCUUGCUUCUCUGAUGUUAGCGGCGGACGGGUGAGUAACACGUGGAUAACCUACCUAUAAGACUGGGAUAACUUCGGGAAACCGGAGCUAAUACCGGAUGAUAUUUUGAACCGCAUGGUUCAAAAGUGAAAGACGGUCUUGCUGUCACUUAUAGAUGGAUCCGCGCUGCAUUAGCUAGUUGGUAAGGUAACGGCUUACCAAGGCAACGAUGCAUAGCCGACCUGAGAGGGUGAUCGGCCACACUGGAACUGAGACACGGUCCAGACUCCUACGGGAGGCAGCAGUAGGGAAUCUUCCGCAAUGGGCGAAAGCCUGACGGAGCAACGCCGCGUGAGUGAUGAAGGUCUUCGGAUCGUAAAACUCUGUUAUUAGGGAAGAACAUAUGUGUAAGUAACUGUGCACAUCUUGACGGUACCUAAUCAGAAAGCCACGGCUAACUACGUG